AACGAACGCUGGCGGCAUGCCUAACACAUGCAAGUCGAACGAGACCUUCGUGUCUAGUUGCGCACGGGUGCGUAACGCGUGGGAAGCGGCCCUUAGGUUCGGAAUAAUUCCCUUUAGGGGGUGCUAAUACCGGAUAAUUUCUUCUGACCAAAGAUUUAUCGCCUUUGGGUGGGCGCGAGUUGGUUUAGCUAGUUGGUAGUGUAAAAGCCUACCACGGCGACGCUCGAUAGCUGGGAUGAGAGGAUGAGCCGCCACACUGGGACUGAGGCACGGCCGAGAAUCGUACGCGAGGGAGGAGAGGGGAAUAUAGGCAAAUGGGGGAAGGCCUGAUCGAGCACUGCUGCGUGAGUCAUGAUGGCGUUAGGGUUGUACAGCUCUUUUACACGGGAUGAUAAUGACGGUACCGGGAGAAUAAGCUCCGGCUAACUUCGUG
rnacentral:rRNA from 1 species